GUCCAAGCCUAUCCAGAUUUUUUUAAUUAUCCAUGGUCAAAGGAAAAUUUGAUGGAAAGACCUUGUGGUUUUCUUGAUGUCCAAAAUGAAUCACUUGAAUAGCAGCUACAUGUUUACUAUGUGUUCAGUUUACUGUAUGUAUAUCCCACAGAAGGUCUGAUUAACCCAUUAAGCUGCAAUGUGAACAAAUGCACCUUACUUUGUUAUUUUACCCUGGCUAACACCAGAUGAUUUUACUUGUCAAGGGAGAAGUCUUGUGCUUUAUUAAAU